rnacentral:rRNA from 1 species
AACGAACGCUGGCGGCAUGCCUAAAACAUGCAAGUCGAACGGGUGUAGCAAUACACCAGUGGCAGACGGGUGCGUAACACGUGGGAACCUGCCCAGAGGUUCGGAAUAGCUGCGGGAAACUGCAGGUAAUACCGAAUGUUGCCUGAGGGCUAAAGGAGCAAUCCGCCUUCGGAGGGGCCCGCGUCCGAUUAGCUAGUUGGCGAGGUAACGGCUCACCAAGGCGACGAUCGGUAGCUGGUCUGAGAGGAUGACCAGCCACACUGGAACUGGGAUACGGUCCAGACUCCUACGGGAGGCAGCAGUUGGGAAUAUUGGACAAUGGGGGAAACCCUGAUCCAGCAAUGCCGCGUGGGUGAUGAAGGCCUUCGGGUUGUAAAGCCCUUUUGGCGGGGACGAUGAUGACGGUACCCGCAGAAUAAGCCCCGGCUAACUUCGUGCCAGCAGCCGCCGUAACAC